AGAGUUUGAUCCUGGCUCAGAUUGAACGCUGGCGGCAUGCUUUACUACAUGCAAGUCGAACGGCAGCAUGGGGGCAACCCUGAUGGCGAGUGGCGAACGGGUGAGUAAUAUAUCGGAACGUACCCGAGAGUGGGGGACAACCAGUCGAAAGAUUGGCUAAUACCGCAUACGAUCUACGGAUGAAAGUGGGGGACCUUUGGGGCCUCACGCUCCUGGAGCGGCCGAUAGCUGAUUAGCUAGUUGGUGGGGUAAAGGCCUACCAAGGCGAUGAUCAGUAGCUGGUCUGAGAGGACGAUCAGCCACACUGGGACUGAGACACGGCCCAGACUCCUACGGGAGGCAGCA
rnacentral:rRNA from 1 species